rnacentral:rRNA from 1 species
GAUGAACUCUGGCGGCGUGCCUAAUACAUGCAAGUCGAGCGAACGGACGAGAAGCUUGCUUCUCUGAUGUUAGCGGCGGACGGGUGAGUAACACGUGGAUAACCUACCUAUAAGACUGGGAUAACUUCGGGAAACCGGAGCUAAUACCGGAUAAUAUUUUGAACCGCAUGGUUCAAAAGUGAAAGACGGUCUUGCUGUCACUUAUAGAUGGAUCCGCGCUGCAUUAGCUAGUUGGUAAGGUAACGGCUUACCAAGGCAACGAUGCAUAGCCGACCUGAGAGGGUGAUCGGCCACACUGGAACUGAGACACGGUCCAGACUCCUACGGGAGGCAGCAGUAGGGAAUCUUCCGCAAUGGGCGAAAGCCUGACGGAGCAACGCCGCGUGAGUGAUGAAGGUCUUCGGAUCGUAAAACUCUGUUAUUAGGGAAGAACAUAUGUGUAAGUAACUGUGCACAUCUUGACGGUACCUAAUCAGAAAGCCACGGCUAACUACGUG